rnacentral:rRNA from 1 species
CCUACGGGAGACAGCAGUGGGGAAUAUUGCACAAUGGGGGCAACCCUGAUGCAGCGACGCCGCGUGAGUGAAGAAGUCUUUCGGUAUGUAAAGCUCUAUCAGCAGGGAAGAAAAUGACGGUACCUGAUUAAGAAGCCCCGGCUAACUCCGGGCCAGCAGCCGCGGUAAUACGUAGGGGGCACGCGUGAUCCGGAUUUACUGGGUGUAAAGGGAGCGUAGACGGUAGCACAAGUCUGGUGUGAAAUGUCGCGGCUUAACCCUGGAACUGCUUUGGAAACUGGGCAGCUUGAGUGCAGAAGAGGUCAGUGGAAUUCCGUGUGUAGCGGUGAAAUGCGUAGAUAUUAGGAAGAACACCAGUGGCGAAGGCGGCUUACUGGACUGUAACUGACGCUGAGGCUCGAAAGCGUGGGGAGCAAACAGGAUUAGAUACCCUAGUAGUC